rnacentral:rRNA from 1 species
AUGCAAGUCGAACGGUAACAGGGAUUGCUUGCAAUCCGCUGACGAGUGGCGCACGGGUGCGUAACGCGUAUGCAAUCUGCCUAUAACUGAGGAAUAGCCCAGAGAAAUUUGGAUUAAUACCUCAUAACAUUGUUUUUUGGCAUCAUUAAACAAUUAAAACUUCGGUGGUUAUAGAUGAGCAUGCGUCCUAUUAGCUUGUUGGUAAGGUAACGGCUUACCAAGGCAACGAUAGGUAGGGGGCCUGAAAGGGUGAUCCCCCACACUGGUACUGAGACACGGACCAGACUCCUACGGGAGGCAGCAGUGAGGAAUAUUGCGCAAUGGAGGAAACUCUGACGCAGCCAUGCCGCGUGCAGGAAGACGGCCCUACGGGUUGUAAACUGCUUUUAUAUAGGAAGAAACCCC